AACGUAGGGGGCAAGCGUUGUCCGGAAUCAUUGGGCGUAAAGAGCGUGUAGGCGGCUCGAUAAGUCUGGAGUGAAAUCUUCCGGCUUAACUGGAAGCAGUCACUGGAAACUGUCGGGAUUGAGUCCGGAAGAGGAGUGAGGAAUUCCUGGUGUAGAGGUGGAAUGCGCAGAUAUCAGGAGGAACACCAAUGGCGAAAGCAGCACUCUGGUACGUUACUGACGCUGAGACGCGAAAGCGUGGGGCGCACAUAGG
rnacentral:rRNA from 1 species